GGCCUUUUGAUUAUAAUUUAAGGUCGGGCCUGCCCAAUGAUUAAUUUAAUGGCCGCGGUAUAUUGACCGUGCAAAGGUAGCAUAAUCAUUAGUUUUUUAAUUGAAAGCUUGAAUGAAGGGUUUGAUGAAAAAAAUACUGUCUCUAUUUAAAUUUAUUAGAAUUUUAUAUUUAGGUUAAAAAGCCUAAAUUUGUAUUGAAGACGAGAAGACCCUAUAGAGUUUAAUAUUUUGUGUGGUAAUUGAUUAUUAAGAAUUUAAAGAAUUAUUAUUUAAAGUAUUUAGUUGGGGUGAUUGAAAAAUUAGUUUAACUUUUUUUGUAUUUUUACAUUAAUUUAUGGGCCAAUGAUCCUUUUUUAAGAUUAAAAGAUAAAAUUACCUUAGGGAUAACAGCGUAAUUUUUCUUAGAGUUCUUAUCGAAAGAAAAGAUUGCGACCUCGAUGUUGGAUUAAAAUGAAUUAUUGGUGUAAAAGCUAAUAAAUUGGGUCUGUUCGACCUUUAAAUUUUUACAUGAUCUGAGUUUAAACCGGUGUAA
rnacentral:rRNA from 1 species